UGGGUAGUCCGCACGAGCGCACCUUACUUUUAGUUGCCAUCAUUUAGUUGGGCACUCUGAAAGAACUGCCAGUGAUAAGCUGGAGGAAGGUGGGGAUGACGUCAAGUCCUCAUGGCCCUUACGUGUUGGGCUACACACGUGCUACAAUGGCAUUUACAAUAGGAAGCAAGAUGGCGACAUCAAGCAAAUCCUAAAAAAAUGCCUCAGUUCGGAUUGUACUCUGCAACUCGAGUACAUGAAGCUGGAAUUGCUAGUAAUCGCGGAUCAGCGCGCCGCGGUGAAUACGUUCCCGGGUCUUGUACACACCGCCCGUCACACCAUGGAAGUUGGUUCUACCUUAAGGCAAAGCAUAAAACCUUUGACCACGGUAUAGUCAGCGACUGGGGUGAAGUCGUAACAAGGUAGCCGUAGGGGAACCUGCGGCUGGAUUACCUCCUUUCU
rnacentral:rRNA from 1 species